rnacentral:rRNA from 1 species
UACGUAGGGGGCGAGCGUUAUCCGGAUUUACUGGGCGUAAAGCGCGUGUAGGUGGUUGCGUAAGUUGGUUGUGAAAUCCCUCGGCUCAACCGAGGAACUGCAAUCAAAACUGCGCGGCUAGAGUAGCAGAGAGGAAAGUGGAAUUCCCGGUGUAGUAGUGAAAUGCGUAGAUAUCGGGAGGAACACCAGUGGCGAAGGCGACUUUCUGGCUGCCAACUGACACUGAGACGCGAAAGCUAGGGGAGCGAACGGG